AUGGGUGAAAAGUCGAGCAUCAAACAAAGGGGGGCGGUCCAUACCACGGGACGUAGAGCUCAUCCUGAUGUUGCUAUAGAAUUGGAGAAAAAGUUGAGUCGACCACCAAAUCCAGACGAGCUCUUCAUGGUCACCCAUAAAAAGAAGAAUGGGCAGUGGGUUGACCGUCGUGCAGAGAAUACACAUAAGCUUAUUGGAAUGUCCUAA